UACGAAGGGGGCUAGCGUUGUUCGGAAUUACUGGGCGGUAAAGCGCACGUAGGCGGAUCGAUCAAGUCAGGGGUGAAAUCCCAGGGCUCAACCCUGGAACUGCCUUUGAUACUGUCGAUCUGGAGUAUGGAAGAGGUGAGUGGAAUUCCGAGUGUAGAGGUGAAAUUCGUAGAUAUUCGGAAGAACACCAGUGGCGAAGGCGACUUACUGGACACAUAUUGACGCUGAGGUGCGAAAGCGUGGGGAGCAAACAGG
rnacentral:rRNA from 1 species